UCAGACGAUGCGUCAUGCAUAUCAAUAAGCGGAGGAAAAGAAACUAACAAGGAUUCCCCUAGUAACGGCGAGUGAAGCGGGAAGAGCUCAAAUUUGAAAUCUUAAAGGGUUUCCCUUUACGAAUUGUAGUUUAAAGAAGUGUUUUCUGUUGAGGUUUUGGUAAAAGUUCUUUGGAAUAGGACAUCAUAGAGGGUGAGAAUCCCGUAUUUGACCUUUACUUUCAACUUUGUGAUACACUUUCAAAGAGUCGGAUUGUUUGGGAAUGCAGUCCAAAAUGGGUGGUAAAUUUCAUCUAAAGCUAAAUAUUGGCGAGAGACCGAUAGCGAACAAGUACCGUGAGGGAAAGAUGAAAAGAACUUUGAAAAGAGAGUUAAACAGUACGUGAAAUUGUCAAAAGGGAAGCGUUUGACACCAGUGUUGUUUUUCUGAAAAUCAAUUAAAGAACUGUUUAUGCUAAGCUGUUUAGACUUUAUCAGCUAUCUGUUUAGUUUUGAGCUUUUCUUUAAUGCACUUUUCAGUUAACAAGUCAACAUCAAUUUCUUUUGCUGUAAAAAAGCUUGAGGAAGGUGGCUUGAGAUUCGUCUUAAGUGUUUAUAGCCUCUUGCCUAUGCAGUCGGAGAGAUUGAGGUCUGCAGCGUAGAUCCUUCGGGGCUAAAUGCAUUUGUGCUAAGUUAUAGCAUUUUAUAGACAACUUGUUGACUAUGAUUUGUCUUGUAGCUUACUCGCUUAUGUUAUUUUACCUACGCUUAGGAUGUUGAGCGCAUGUCUCUCUC
rnacentral:rRNA from 1 species